ACACCUCAACUCUCAUGGUUUGCCAUGAUGAGCUUGGACUUUGGGGGUCUUGCUGGCCUGUGGUCAGCUCCUCUCAAAUGAAUCAGCUUUCCAGUGUUUGGUGGCAUCAUGGGUGUGAUAAAUAUCUACGCUUGUGGUUUCCUGCCAGGUAACCUUCAGUGAUGGAGGUUCGCUGGGGCUCAUAAAUGUCUCUCCUCAGCGAAGACAGCUUUGUAAAU
rnacentral:misc_RNA from 1 species